rnacentral:rRNA from 1 species
UACGAGGGGGGCAAGCGUUGUUCGGAAUUAUUGGGCGUAAAGGGUGCGUAGGCGGUGCGGUAAGUCUGUUGUGAAAUCUCCGGGCUCAACUCGGAGUCUGCAUCAGAAACUGCCGUGCUGGAGUGUGGGAGAGGUGAGUGGAAUUCCCGGUGUAGCGGUGAAAUGCGUAGAUAUCAGGAGGAACACCUGUGGUGUAGACGGCUUUCUGGACCAUAGCUGACGCUGAGACACGAAAGCGUGGGUAGCAAACAGG